rnacentral:rRNA from 1 species
AACGAACGCUGGCGGCAGGCUUAACACAUGCAAGUCGAGCGAGACCUUCGGGUCUAGCGGCGGACGGGUGAGUAACGCGUGGGAACGUGCCCUUCUCUACGGAAUAGCCCCGGGAAACUGGGAGUAAUACCGUAUACGCCCUUUGGGGGAAAGAUUUAUCGGAGAAGGAUCGGCCCGCGUUGGAUUAGGUAGUUGGUGGGGUAAUGGCCCACCAAGCCGACGAUCCAUAGCUGGGUUGAGAGGAUGAUCAGCCACACUGGGACUGAGACACGGCCCAGACUCCCACGGGGGGGAGGAGGUGGGAAAUCUUGGCCAUGGGGGCAACCCUGAUCUAGCCAUGCCGCGUGAGUGAUGAAGGCCUUAGGGUUGUAAAGCUCUUUCAGCUGGGAAGAUAAUGACGGUACCAGCAGAAGAAGCCCCGGCUAACUCCGUG